rfam:Bombyx mori DNA, contig: Bm_scaf63_contig29424, strain: p50T/Dazao, build 2, whole genome shotgun sequence.
UUAACUCAAAUUUGUAUGAAGCCGGAACGUUUGUCUACGUUUGCCGCUAGGGGCGCUGUUCCAUCUGCAUACAAAUUUAAGUAA